UACGAAGGGGGCUAGCGUUGCUCGGAAUUACUGGGCGUAAAGCGCACGUAGGCGGCUUUUUAAGUCGGAGGUGAAAUCCUGGAGCUCAACUCCAGAACUGCCUUCGAUACUGAAGAGCUCGAGUCCGGGAGAGGUGAGUGAACUGCGAGUGUAGAGGUGAAAUUCGUAGAUAUUCGCAAGAACACCAGUGGCGAAGGCGGCUCACUGGCCCGGUACUGACGCUGAGGUGCGAAAGCGUGGGGAGCAAACAGG
rnacentral:rRNA from 1 species